rnacentral:rRNA from 1 species
ACGCAUCCUUCGGGGUGAGUGGCAGACGGGUGAGUAACGCGUGGGAACGUGCCCUUCAGUUCGGGAUAACCCAGGGAAACUUGGGCUAAUACCGGAUACGUGCGAGAGCAGAAAGAUUUAUCGCUGAAGGAUCGGCCCGCGUCUGAUUAGCUAGUUGGUGAGGUAAUGGCUCACCAAGGCGACGAUCAGUAGCUGGUCUGAGAGGAUGAUCAGCCACACUGGGACUGAGACGCGGCCCAGACUCCUACGGGAGGCAGCAGUGGGGAAUAUUGGACAAUGGGCGCAAGCCUGAUCCAGCCAUGCCGCGUGAGUGAUGAAGGCCUUAGGGUUGUAAAGCUCUUUCGCACGCGACGAUAAUGACGGUAGCGUGAGAAGAAGCCCCGGCUAACUUCGUGCCAGCAGCCGCGGUAAUACGAAGGGGGCUAGCGUUGUUCGGAAUCACUGGGCGUAAAGGGCGCGUAGGCGGCUUUAUAAGUCGGGGGUGAAAGCCUGUGGCUCAACCACAGAAUUGCCUUCGAUACUGUAUGGCUUGAGACCGGAAGAGGUUAGUGGAACUGCGAGUGUAGAGGUGAAAUUCGUAGAUAUUCGCAAGAACACCAGUGGCGAAGGCGGCUGACUGGUCCGGAUCUGACGCUGAGGCGCGAAAGCGUGGGGAGCAAACAGGAUUAGAUACCCUGGUAGUCCACGCCGUAAACGAUGAAUGCCAGCCGUUGGCGAGCUUGCUCGUCAGUGGGCGCAGCUAACGCUUUAAGCAUUCCGCCUGGGGGAGUACGGGUCGCAAGAUUAAAACUCAAAGGAAUUGACG